ACAUACGACCAUAACUACCAGAAAAUACGGGAUCCCGUCCGCUCUCCCAUAGUCAAGCUGGUAAGGGGCGGAUUAGUAGUUGGGUCGGUGACGACCAGCGAAUCCCCGCUGUUGUAUGU
rnacentral:rRNA from 1 species